GCCCGAUUAGCUCAGCUGGUUAGAGCGUCGUACUAAUAUUGCUCUCUCAGAGUCAAUAUCAAGUCUAUGCGAAGGUCAACAGUUCAAUCCUGUUAUUGGGCA